rnacentral:rRNA from 1 species
UACGAAGGGGGGCUAGCGUUGCUCGGAAUCACUGGGCGUAAAGCGCACGUAGGCGGAUUGCUAAGUCAGGGGUGAAAUCCUGGAGCUCAACUCCAGAACUGCCUUUGAUACUGGCGACCUUGAGUCCGGGAGAGGUGAGUGGAACUGCGAGUGUAGAGGUGAAAUUCGUAGAUAUUCGGAAGAACACCAGUGGCGAAGGCGACUUACUGGACACAUAUUGACGCUGAGGUGCGAAAGCGUGGGGAGCAAACAGG